rnacentral:misc_RNA from 1 species
CGAAGUUUCAAUUUUUCCGAUUCUCCCAUCGCUCUGCGUCUGAGAUUAGAUUUUGUCUUGAGACCCAGAAGAUAUGACAACGGCAGCUAGACCUACGUGGGCACCUGCUAAAGGUGGCAAUGAACAAGGUGGAACCCGGAUAUUUGGUCCAUCUCAAAAAUACUCUUCAAGAGACAUUGCAGCUCACACAACAUUAAAGCCCAGAAAGGAAGGACAAGACACCCAGGAUGAGUUGCAGAAGAGGAACCUCCGGGAUGAGUUGGAGGACCGUGAGCGGAGGCAUUUCUCUAAAGACAAGACACCCAGGAUGAGUUGCAGAAGAGGAACCUCCGGGAUGAGUUGGAGGACCGUGAGCGGAGGCAUUUCUCUAAAGACAAGAGUUAUAAUGAUGACAGAGAUCGUCGAAAAGGUAGUCAACUCUUUGUGGAAGGGGCUAAACGAGAGAUUGAAGAUCGUAUUGUUCCGCGGAGUGCUGAUGCUGAUGAUGCCGAUGUGGAUGUUAAGAGUGGUGAUGAGAGUGAUGACGACGAUGAUGAUGACGA